UCUUAACUCUGGCGGCGUGCCUAAUACAUGCAAGUCGAGCGAACGGACGAGAAGCUUGCUUCUCUGAUGUUAGCGGCGGACGGGUGAGUAACACGUGGAUAACCUACCUAUAAGACUGGGAUAACUUCGGGAAACCGGAGCUAAUACCGGAUAAUAUUUUGAACCGCAUGGUUCAAAAGUGAAAGACGGUCUUGCUGUCACUUAUAGAUGGAUCCGCGCUGCAUUAGCUAGUUGGUAAGGUAACGGCUUACCAAGGCAACGAUGCAUAGCCGACCUGAGAGGGUGAUCGGCCACACUGGAACUGAGACACGGUCCAGACUCCUACGGGAGGCAGCAGUAGGGAAUCUUCCGCAAUGGGCGAAAGCCUGACGGAGCAACGCCGCGUGAGUGAUGAAGGUCUUCGGAUCGUAAAACUCUGUUAUUAGGGAAGAACAUAUGUGUAAGUAACUGUGCACAUCUUGACGGUACCUAAUCAGAAAGCCACGGCUAACUACGUG
rnacentral:rRNA from 1 species